rnacentral:lncRNA from 1 species
GUAAGUGAGAGCUGACUUUAUUGCAAGUGCGCACAUGCCAAGAAUGCAGCACAGUUUUCUACAAGCAAUCUCCGCCUUAAGUUUCCGUCUUGAUACUAUGACAUUCUUGUGGGACGUCAACCUGUUCUGGCUUUUCCUGCCUGGGUUCCACAGAGCGACAGACAACAAGAGUCGAUUAAACCUGUUCAGCUACUAUUUGAAGGUUUAUCUAUUUGGAAGUGGCUUAUAACCCUCUCCAAAAUGAAAAGGAAAAUCUGCUUGUAGGAAUAUAACUGUAUUUUGAUAGAAUCAGUUCUGACGCGAUACUACGAAGGACUAGAAGCCUUGGACUCUGGAGUUUAAAUCGCGGGAAAUGAGGCUCCCUCCAGUCUGUCUGUCGUAAUACCUGAAGUGCCACCUCAGAUCUCAGUGAUACUCUGUAAACAUGAUCGGCAAGAAGGGGUGUCCGUCGGCAAACAACCAAAAUGCAGAAUCAUCAUUGAAUGGUCUCAGAGGUGCCGAAGAGUAUUGCUCCUGAAAUCUCCUCCAUCCAUGGCUGAAAUUUAAAGGCUUGGGGUGAUUGAGAGAACAACCUGCGCACAUCAUUCCAGU